CCCUGGCUCAGGACGAACGCUGGCGGCAUGCCUAAUACAUGCAAGUCGAGCGGAAUGAUGAGAGCUUGCUCUCUGAUUUUAGCGGCGGACGGGUGAGUAACACGUGGGCAACCUGCCCUACAGAUGGGGAUAACUCCGGGAAACCGGGGCUAAUACCGAAUAAUCAGUUUGUCCGCAUGGACGAACUCUGAAAGACGGUUUCGGCUGUCACUGUAGGAUGGGCCCGCGGCGCAUUAGCUAGUUGGUGGGGUAAUGGCCUACCAAGGCGACGAUGCGUAGCCGACCUGAGAGGGUGAUCGGCCACACUGGGACUGAGACACGGCCCAGACUCCUACGGGAGGCAGCAGUAGGGAAUCUUCCACAAUGGACGAAAGUCUGAUGGAGCAAUGCCGCGUGAGCGAAGAAGGUUUUCGGAUCGUAAAGCUCUGUUGUAAGGGAAGAACAAGUACGGGAGUAACUGCCCGUACCUUGACGGUACCUUAUUAGAAAGCCACGGCUAA
rnacentral:rRNA from 1 species